rfam:Neolentinus lepideus HHB14362 ss-1 unplaced genomic scaffold NEOLEscaffold_11, whole genome shotgun sequence.
CCUUCGAUAGCUCAGUUGGAAGAGCGCAAGACUGUAAUGGAUGACUUCAUCUGAGUAAUCUUGAUGUCGCUGGUUCGAUCCCGGCUCGAAGGA